GAUGAACGCUAGCGACAGGCUUAACACAUGCAAGUCGAGGGGCAGCGGGGGAGUAGCAAUACUCCCGCCGGCGACCGGCGCACGGGUGAGUAACACGUAUGAAACCUGCCCGUAGCAGGGGGAUAAGCGGAAGAAAUUCCGUCUAAUACCGCGUAACAACCCUUGGAGGCAUCUCCCCGGGGUUUAAAGGAAGCGAUUCCGGCUACGGAUGGUCAUGCGUCGCAUUAGCUAGUUGGCGGGGUAACGGCCCACCAAGGCGACGAUGCGUAGGGGUUCUGAGAGGAAGGCCCCCCACACUGGUACUGAGACACGGACCAG
rnacentral:rRNA from 1 species